rnacentral:lncRNA from 1 species
CUCAAUCUAGCUUAAAACAUACAAUUUUUUGAAGGUGUGUUAUAGGAAACCAUUUGAUGAAGGUGUGUUAUAGGAAACCAUUUGAUGAAAAAGAAUAAAACUUAUCUUGGUAACUAGUUCAAAUAAUUGUAUCACCAUAUAGUUAUUUUUCAAAUUACAAGGGAUGCAUGUCCUAUAAAUAGUUAGGAAAUGUUACAAGUAAAGUCAUUCAAAUUGCAACAACACUUCUUACCUUAAUUUUAAGUGUCCAAUCAUAUUAGUGUAAACUUAUUUAUCUUGGUUCACCAAUCACAACAUAUGUAACAUAAAAAUUGAUACAAACACAUAUAAUAUACGAACACAAGCAUAAACACAAAAAUAAAUUUCUAAAAUAUAAGACAUGGAAACUCAUAAAAACACAAAUCUAUAUAUCAUAUAAUUAUGAAUUAUAUAAAUUAACAAUAAAAAUUUAUGUGCAUAAAUAUCUUUCAAUUUUUUUAAUAAAAAUAUGUUUUUUAUAAUUUGAUCCUUAUUUCACGAAUACGUAUUUUAUAAGUGUUAUACACGUAUCGGUAUCAUAUAUGUGUCGACAUGUUCAAAUCUAACAUCAUAACAAAAAGUUAAUAUUUUUUUCAAAUUUUGGCAUACUUUAACACAAAAACUAGUUCAAGGAUCAAAAUUACUCUAUAUUUUAGACUAUUUUGUUCCCAUUCAAUGAAAGACCCUUAAAAAGAGAAAUGAACUAAAAAGUGUAGUGAAUACUAACUUUCUUAAAAAUAGAUAUCUACAUAGUUCACUAAGGAAAAGCUAUGCAUCAAACAAGCAAAAGAACACAAAAAGAAGAUGAAUCAUUGAACUUUGAUAUCUAGAAUGUUGGAGUAACUAGUAGCCUUGGGAAUGGCUAUGUAGAGCACACCAUCCUUAACCUCAGCCUUAAUAUUCUCAAACUGCACAUUAUCUGGCAAAGCAAUCCUACUGCUAUAUCUGCCAUAACUCUUUGCAGACCAUUCCUCUUCCUCUUCUUGCUGCUUCUGUUGCAUCAUCUCAUUCUUCUUUGGUGCCUUUUCUGCUUUGACCACUAGCAUCUUCUCCUCCACCCAAACUUUCACAUCCUCUUUGUUCAUACCAGGCAUGUCAAACCUCAUCUUGUAUUCACUCUCUCCCUCUUUCACUUCCCAUGGUGCCCUUCCCUUUCUCCUAUACCCUCCCACACCCUCACUUGGCAAGGGUGAUGAAGGCCACUCAAGUGUGCUAAAGGCAAAAGGGUCCUCCAUCAUCCUCUCCAUUGUCUCCAUCAUCUCUUGCAUUGUCCUUGCUGUAGGAAACCGAUCCCACAACCCUGCUUUUGUGCAAUUUCACUUGUUAAUUGAAUGAAUACAUGCACAUCAAAAUUAGUGCUAUUUAAAGAAA